rnacentral:rRNA from 1 species
GAUGAACGCUGGCGGCGUGCCUAAUACAUGCAAGUCGAGCGAACGGACGAGAAGCUUGCUUCUCUGAUGUUAGCGGCGGACGGGUGAGUAACACGUGUAUACCCUACCUAUAAGACUGGGAUAACUUCGGGAAACCGGAGCUAAUACCGGAUAAUAUUUUGAACCGCAUGGUUCAAAAGUGAAAGACGGUCUUGCUGUCACUUCUAGAUGGUUCCGCGCUGCUUUAGCUAGUUGGUAAGGUAACGGCUUACCAAGGCAACGAUGCAUAGCCGACCUGAGAGGGUGAUCGGACACACUGGAACUGAGACACGGUCCAGACUACUACGGGAGGCAGCAGUAGGGAAUCUUCGGCAAUGGGCGAAAGCCUGACGGAGCAACGCCGCGUGAGUGAUGAAGGUCUUCGGAUCGUAAAACUCUGUUAUUAGGGAAGAACAGAUGUGUAAGUAACUGUGGACAUCUUGACGGUACCAAAUCAGAAAGCCACGGCUAACUACGUG